UACAGGGGGGGCAAGCGUUGUUCGGAUUUACUGGGCGUAAAGGGUUCGUAGGUGGCCACCUAAGUCAGACGUGAAAUCCCUCAGCUUAACUGGGGAACUGCGUCUGAUACUGGAUGGCUUGAGUGCAGGAGAGGAAUGCGGAAUUCCAGGUGUAGCGGUGAAAUGCGUAGAUAUCUGGAGGAACACCGGUGGCGAAGGCGGCAUUCUGGACUGUAACUGACACUGAGGAACGAAAGCCAGGGGAGCAAACGGG
rnacentral:rRNA from 1 species